rnacentral:siRNA from 1 species
UUGGUACUUCGGCUCUUAUAAC